GGGCCCGCACAAGCGGUGGAGUAUGUGGUUUAAUUCGAUGCAACGCGAAGAACCUUACCAGGGCUUAAAUGUAACGGGACAGAUCUAGAGAUAGAUCCUUCUUCGGACUCAUUACAAGGUGCUGCAUGGUUGUCGUCAGCUCGUGCCGUGAGGUGUCAGGUUAAGUCCUAUAACGAGCGCAACCCCCAUCGUUAGUUGCCAACGAGUAAUGUCGGGAACUCUAACGAAACUGCCGGUGCAAACCGUGAGGAAGGUGGGGAUGACGUCAAAUCAUCACGGCCCUUACGUCCUGGGCUACACACGUGCUACAAUGGUCGGUACAGAGAGCAGCCACUACGCGAGUAGGAGCAAAUCUUCAAAGCCGAUCUCAGUUCGGAUCGGGGUCUGCAACUCGGCCCCGUGAAGCUGGAAUCGCUAGUAAUCGCAGGU
rnacentral:rRNA from 1 species